CAAAAACCGAAGCAUGGUCAAGCGCCCCUAGCGUCACUUUUAUGACGCCAAAUGUGCCUCUCGGCGUCGACUAUCGAAGCACUACGACCUUCAUUGCUUUCAGUGGGAAACUUUUGGCGUCAGAAUUCGACACGAGGACAGGAGAUGUUUAUCGCUAUGAAAUCACGUUCAAGAAGUCUCAUUCAGCACACAUCGCGCGAUACUUGCUAUCAGUUCCACAGUUUGGCUGAAAAGACGUAAAGGCAGUCAGCCCAGUGGUGUUUCUGGAGAGGGAUUCCUUCAGAAAUGGAGAAGACAGAAAGCUGCGGAGGCAGAUAUUUGCAGCAGUCUAAAAUAUCGAGCUCAACAGCUCACUCAAGAGCCAACCCUCACAAACCUUCCUAAAACCUAAAAGAGCUAUUACUGAGUCUCAGCGAAUCUUGCCAUGAUCAGCUCUUCCCAGAAGAGAAGGAAGACCAAGGAUAUGUUUUGCUCAGCACGAGGAAUGAAGACGGCCAUCUUGAGCUCAAACAAAC